UUUUAUUCCAUUUGAGAUGAGAUAUUUAUACAAGAAAAAUAACAAAUUCUUCCUAUCUUUCCUGCAUAUUUAUUUAGGCUGUUACACCUAUUUUUGAAAUUUAAAAAAAGUCAUAACAAACUUGAGCUAAGUCGAUCUUCAAGGAUUGGAAUCUGGAAUGCCAACAACUGAACACUCUUCCUUGGCAUCUGGAUGACAAACACCUAUCUUCUGCUUAAGAGCUUCAAACCUUUCCAUUGGUAAAGGCUUUGUGAAUAUAUCUGCGAGUUGAUUUUCAGAGGAACAAUGAACAAGUAACACUUCAUUGGAUUGUUGAACUUCUCUAAUAAAAUGAUACUUGAUCUUAAUAUGCUUUGUUCGACCAUGAAACACAGGAUUUUUCGAAAUUGAUACUGCAGAAAUGUUGUCACACAUAAUGUUGGUUGCUUCAACUUGCCCUUGCCCAAGUCUUUCAGUAUUUUUCUUAACCAUAAAGCUUGAUUUACAGUAGAUGCAGCAGCAAUGUAUUCUGCCUCUGCUGUUGAUUGGGUUGUGGUUUCUUGUUUCUUUGAGCUCCAAGUGAAAAAACCUGAGCCUAAGGAGAAUAAGUACCCUGAAGUACUUCUUGAAUCAUCAACACAGCCUCCCCAAUUGCUGUCGGAGUAGCCUAGCAGCUUCAAAUCACCUUCUGCAGAUUUUGAAAAUUGAACUCCAAGAUCAAUUGUUCCCUUGAUGUACCUUAAUACACUUUUAGCUGCCAAAAAAUGUUUCUCACUUGGUGAGUGCAUGAACCUGGAAAGCACACUAACAGCAAACAAUAUUCAGGUCUGCUAGCUGUUAGGUAUAAAAGGCUACCAAUUAAGCUUCUAUAUAAGCCUUCAUCUAUUUUCUCAGAGUCGUCAUCCUUGCUUAACUUCUCGCUGGUUGUCAUAGGAGUAGACACAGGCUUGCAAUCUUGCAUUUUAAAUUUUUUCAGCAUAUCCAUAGCAUACUUCUGUUGGCAUAUGAAAAUUCUUGAACAUGACUGCAUCACUUCCAUUCCCAAAAAGUACUUCAUGCCUCCAAGAUCGGUCAUUUCAAAGACUUUGUUUAUCUCAUCCUUGAAGCUUUGAAUUAACCUGGGCUGAUUUCCUGUUACAAGCAUGUCGUCUACAUAAAGAGAGACUAUUAAAAGCUGGACAUCAUCAGUUUUUACAUAUAAGGUUGCUUCACUCUGACUUCUAACAAAACCAAGUUUAGUUAGAUGCUUGUCCAUGAUUUCAUAACAAGCCCUGGGGGCUUGUUUCAAGCCAUACAAUGCCUUCCUUAGAAGGUACACAUAGUCCUCUUUGCCUGGAGCCACAACCCCAUCUGGUUGCUCUACAUAUAUCUUUUCAUCAACAAAUCCAUUUAAGAAGGCAGAUUUAACAUCUAAUUGAUGAAUAUGCUAAGAAUUUUGAGCAGCAAGUACAAAAAGUAGCCUGAUAGUGUCAUACCUUGCCACAAGAGCAAAAGUUUCUUGAUAAUCAACACCAUAAUGUUGAGCAUAUCCCUUCACCACUAGCCUAGCUUUGUGCUUGCAUAUCGAACCAUCAGAAUUGAGUUUUGUUUUGAAAACCCAUUUCACUCCGAUCACCUUGUGAUUUUUAGGUCUCUCCACAAGCUGCCAGGUUUCAUUCUUGUUAAUCAUCUUCAAUUCUUCUUGCAUUGCUCUCCUCCAUGCUUCAGAAUCUUUGGCUUCUACAUAACUUGUUGGUUCAAUUAUUGCUAAAUUGCACCUUUGAUAGAUGUCCUCCAAGAUUCUCGUGCCCUCACUGGAAAAUCAUCUAUGGAUUUAGAAGUUUGAAAAUCUUCAUGAUUAUCGAAGCCGACAUCAGAUUGUGCAUCUUUUUUAUUUUGCCAUUCCCAAGUUGUCAUUUCAUCAAUUUUUACAUUCCUGCUCAAGACAACUUUGUUGGUUUGCAAACAAAAUAUUCUAUAGCCCUUGGUUGAUGUCCCAUAGUCAAUGAGAAUGCCCUUUUGAGCUUUGCUGUCCAACUUGCUUCUUUUAGGUUCUGGUACAUGAUAAUAGCAUAUGCUUCCAAAUAUUUUAAGAUGAUUAACUAAGGGCUUGACACCAUACCAUGCUUCAUAUGGUGUUUUGUUCUUCAAGGAUUUUGUAGGCAAUCUGUUCAGAAAAUAUACUCUGCCUAAAAAUUACUUGGCAUUUUUUUCUCAAAUAGAAGACACCUGGCCAUCUCCAUUAUGGUUCGAUUCUUCCUCUCCGAGACACCAUUUUGUUGUGGAGUGUAUGGAGUUGUUAGUUGACAUUCGUUACCUGCAGUGCUACAAAACUCAACAAAUUGACUGGAGGUAUAUUCCGAACCAUUGUUGGACCUUAAGAUUUUAAUGCUCAAGUUGCUUUGAUUUUCUACAAGGGCUUUGAAUUUUUUGAAAAUAGAGAAAACUUCAUUCUUUAGUUUGAUAAAAUAUACCCAACACAUUCUGGUAUAGUCAUCUAUAAAGAGAAUGAAGUAUUUGUUACCACUCAAAGAAGUUGUUUUCAUGGGACCACAAACAUCGGUGUGUAUGAGUUGAAGCUUUUCAGUGGCUCUCCAUGCUUGAUUAUUUUUGAGUGGCAACCUUGCUUGUUUGCCUUGUUGACAAAUCUCACAUAUUUGAGCUUCAUCAGAUACGUUUGGCAUUUUUCCACCAGCUCAAGUUUUUUAGCUCUACUAAGCUCCUUUGGUUAUAGUGUCCAAACCGUUUAUGUCAUAGGUCUGAAACACUUUGAGUAACUCCAACAUAUGCAUAUUCAGCAGCAUUCUCCCAAUUGAUGGCAAAACUCUUGCUUUUCAUCUUCAUACAAAGCAAUUUCUCUCCAUAGGGUUCAAAGAUGAUGCAUUGGUUGUCUUUGAAUUGCAGGGAAUAUUGCUUUUCAAGCAUUUGACCUACACUCAAUAGAUUUUGACUAAUAUCAGGUACAAAUAACACAUUAGAGAUGAGCUUGAUACCUGAAUUUGUUUUGACAGCAACCGUGCCCCUUCCCUUGACAUCCACGUAUCCACCAUUGCCAACUUUCACCGUAGAGUUAUAGGUUUUGUCAAGGUCCUUGAAUAUUGUAGCAUUGUGACACAUGUGGUGUGUGCAUCCACUAUCAAUGAGCCAAGCAUUAUAAGAGUCUUGACUUGAGAAACAUGAUGCUACAAAGAGUUUCUUCUCCUGAGAAUCUGCAUCAGCAACUUGUGCUUGCUGAGAUUGAGGACCUUUAUUUUUAUAUUUGCAGACUUUGUAACAUGCCCAAGCUGUUUGCAGUUGCCGCACAUUGCGUCUAGCCUCCACCAACAGUAUUUCUCUAGAUGCGUAGUCUUCUUGCAAUGUGAGCAGGUUGGAUAUUUUUUUUGUUGGGCCCCUUCUUUGCUGCUCUUCUCUCUGCUUUUACUUUUCUUCUUGCUGAACUAGUUUUUGUUUUUAUUAGAUUGUAGGGUCUGCAUUUGAAAAACACCUUCUGUGACGUUCUCUUGCCUCAAAGCUCUUCUUUGCUCUUGUGCUUGGAAUGCAUUCAUUAGUUCAGCAAGUGAAAUUUGUGAAAGGUCCCUAGAUUCUUCAAGAGAUGAAAUCUUGGACUCAAACCUCUCAAGAAGUGUCACAAGAACCUUCUCCACGAUCCUUGCAUUAGGAAAUUCUUCACCAAGCAACCUGAUUUUGUUAACAAUCAAAGCAAUUCUGUCAGAAUACUUGGUGAUAGUUUCAUCUUCUUGCAUGGUUAGAGACUCAAAGUCCCUUUUCAAAUUCAGCACUUGCAUUUGUUUGGUUCUAUCACUUCCUUGAUACUCCAAUUUAAGCUUGUCCAAGGCUUCUUUGGCUGUCCUGCAAUUCAUAAUUCUAUGAAAUACUGAGUCAGCAACUGAAUUUUGGAUUAAAUUCUUAGCUUUAAACUUUUUGGUCUUUUUGUCAGUAUGAGCUCUGAUUUGUGCUAAGGUAGGAUUCGCCGGAAGUGGAGCUAUUGGUUCGUCUUUAGCUACAACUUCCCAAAGAUCAAAUGCUUCCAGGUACGUUUGCAUCUUUACGGACCAAAUUUGAUCGCAAAGAUUUGAGGAGCUAACAAAGAGAUGCUGCUGGUUGCCAUUUUCUAGUGUGGUUUCAAAUGGGUUAUGAAGUGAACUUUCUUGGUUUUCACUCAAAAUACAGGUCCUGUAAGACCAACUGUGGCUCUGAUACCACUUGUUGGAGAAACUACAGGUAUGAAACUGGAAGUUAAUGAAGAAAAAGCUACAGAUAUGGUAGAGAGAAGCUGAUAAUUUUAUUCCAUUUGAGAUGAGAUAUUUAUACAAAAAAAUAACAAAUUCUUCCUAUCUUUCCUACAUAUUUAUUUAGGCUAUUACACCUGUUUUUGAAAUUUAAAACAAACAAAGUCAUAACAAACUUGAGCUAAUCUUCAGCAAAGACUAGUCUUCAAGGAUUGGAAUCUAGAAUGCCAACAACUGAACAGUUGCCUAUGCAGCCAUGCUUGACACUGGAAACUUUGUGCUGGCAAACCAAGAUUCUACCAACUUGUGGGAGAGUUUUGAUCAUCUGACAGACACACUAUUACCCACACAGAUGCUGAAUCAAGGCAGCAAACUUGUUGCUCGUUCCUCAGAUGUGAGUUACUCAAGUGGAAGAUUCAUGUUUGCAUUGCAAACUGAUGGAAAUCUCGUGAUGUACACCACAGAUUUUCCAAUGGGUUAUGAAGUGAACUUUCUUGGUUUUCACUCAAAAUACAGGUCCUGUAAGACCAACUGUGGCUCUGAUACCACUUGUUGGAGAAACUACAGGUAUGAAACUGGAAGUUAAUGAAGAAAAAGCUACAGAUAUGGUAGAGAGAAGCUGAUAAUUUUAUUCCAUUUGAGAUGAGAUAUUUAUACAAAAAAAUAACAAAUUCUUCCUAUCUUUCCUACAUAUUUAUUUAGGCUAUUACACCUGUUUUUGAAAUUUAAAACAAACAAAGUCAUAACAAACUUGAGCUAAUCUUCAGCAAAGACUAGUCUUCAAGGAUUGGAAUCUAGAAUGCCAACAACUGAACAGUUGCCUAUGCAGCCAUGCUUGACACUGGAAACUUUGUGCUGGCAAACCAAGAUUCUACCAACUUGUGGGAGAGUUUUGAUCAUCUGACAGACACACUAUUACCCACACAGAUGCUGAAUCAAGGCAGCAAACUUGUUGCUCGUUCCUCAGAUGUGAGUUACUCAAGUGGAAGAUUCAUGUUUGCAUUGCAAACUGAUGGAAAUCUCGUGAUGUACACCACAGAUUUUCCAAUGGGUUAUGAAGUGAACUUUCUUGGUUUUCACUCAAAAUACAGGUCCUGUAAGACCAACUGUGGCUCUGAUACCACUUGUUGGAGAAACUACAGGUAUGAAACUGGAAGUUAAUGAAGAAAAAGCUACAGAUAUGGUAGAGAGAAGCUGAUAAUUUUAUUCCAUUUGAGAUGAGAUAUUUAUACAAAAAAAUAACAAAUUCUUCCUAUCUUUCCUACAUAUUUAUUUAGGCUAUUACACCUGUUUUUGAAAUUUAAAACAAACAAAGUCAUAACAAACUUGAGCUAAUCUUCAGCAAAGACUAGUCUUCAAGGAUUGGAAUCUAGAAUGCCAACAACUGAACAGUUGCCUAUGCAGCCAUGCUUGACACUGGAAACUUUGUGCUGGCAAGCCAAGAUUCUACCAACUUGUGGGAGAGUUUUGAUCAUCUGACAGACACUAUUACCCACACAGAUGCUGAAUCAAGGCAGCAAACUUGUUGCUCGUUCCUCAGAUGUGAGUUACUCAAGUGGAAGAUUCAUGUUUGCAUUGCAAACUGAUGGAAAUCUCGUGAUGUACACCACAGAUUUUCCAAUGGGUUAUGAAGUGAACUUUCUUGGUUUUCACUCAAAAUACAAGUCCUGUAAGACCAACUGUGGCUCUGAUACCACUUGUUGGAGAAACUACAGGUAUGAAACUGGAAGUUAAUGAAGAAAAAGCUACAGAUAUGGUAGAGAGAAGCUGAUAAUUUU
rnacentral:lncRNA from 1 species